rnacentral:piRNA from 1 species
UCCGGAACCCUUAAGGAAAGCCGUCU